AUGGCUCAGGACGAACGCUGGCGGCGUGCCUAAUACAUGCAAGUCGAACGAACUCUGGUAUUGAUUGGUGCUUGCAUCAUGAUUUACAUUUGAGUGAGUGGCGAACUGGUGAGUAACACGUGGGAAACCUGCCCAGAAGCGGGGGAUAACACCUGGAAACAGAUGCUAAUACCGCAUAACAACUUGGACCGCAUGGUCCGAGCUUGAAAGAUGGCUUCGGCUAUCACUUUUGGAUGGUCCCGCGGCGUAUUAGCUAGAUGGUGAGGUAACGGCUCACCAUGGCAAUGAUACGUAGCCGACCUGAGAGGGUAAUCGGCCACAUUGGGACUGAGACACGGCCCAAACUCCUACGGGAGGCAGCAGUAGGGAAUCUUCCACAAUGGACGAAAGUCUGAUGGAGCAACGCCGCGUGAGUGAAGAAGGGUUUCGGCUCGUAAAACUCUGUUGUUAAAGAAGAACAUAUCUGAGAGUAACUGUUCAGGUAUUGACGGUAUUUAACCAGAAAGCCACGGCUAACUACGUGCCAGCAGCCGCGGUAAUACGUAGGUGGCAAGCGUUGUCCGGAUUUAUUGGGCGUAAAGCGAGCGCAGGCGGUUUUUUAAGUCUGAUGUGAAAGCCUUCGGCUCAACCGAAGAAGUGCAUCGGAAACUGGGAAACUUGAGUGCAGAAGAGGACAGUGGAACUCCAUGUGUAGCGGUGAAAUGCGUAGAUAUAUGGAAGAACACCAGUGGCGAAGGCGGCUGUCUGGUCUGUAACUGACGCUGAGGCUCGAAAGUAUGGGUAGCAAACAGGAUUAGAUACCCUGGUAGUCCAUACCGUAAACGAUGAAUGCUAAGUGUUGGAGGGUUUCCGCCCUUCAGUGCUGCAGCUAACGCAUUAAGCAUUCCGCCUGGGGAGUACGGCCGCAAGGCUGAAACUCAAAGGAAUUGACGGGGGCCCGCACAAGCGGUGGAGCAUGUGGUUUAAUUCGAAGCUACGCGAAGAACCUUACCAGGUCUUGACAUACUAUGCAAAUCUAAGAGAUUAGACGUUCCCUUCGGGGACAUGGAUACAGGUGGUGCAUGGUUGUCGUCAGCUCGUGUCGUGAGAUGUUGGGUUAAGUCCCGCAACGAGCGCAACCCUUAUUAUCAGUUGCCAGCAUUAAGUUGGGCACUCUGGUGAGACUGCCGGUGACAAACCGGAGGAAGGUGGGGAUGACGUCAAAUCAUCAUGCCCCUUAUGACCUGGGCUACACACGUGCUACAAUGGAUGGUACAACGAGUUGCGAACUCGCGAGAGUAAGCUAAUCUCUUAAAGCCAUUCUCAGUUCGGAUUGUAGGCUGCAACUCGCCUACAUGAAGUCGGAAUCGCUAGUAAUCGCGGAUCAGCAUGCCGCGGUGAAUACGUUCCCGGGCCUUGUACACACCGCCCGUCACACCAUGAGAGUUUGUAACACCCAAAGUCGGUGGGGUAACCUUUUAGGAACCAGCCGC
rnacentral:rRNA from 1 species